rnacentral:rRNA from 1 species
CAGCCGCCACGGGAAUACGAAGGGGGCUAGCGUUGCUCGGAAUGACUGGGCGUAAAGGGCGCGUAGGCGGCGAUCAAAGUCAGGCGUGAAAUUCCCGGGCUCAACCUGGGGGCUGCGUUUGAUACUUGGUUGCUUGAGUGGGGAAGAGGGUCGUGGAAUUCCCAGUGUAGAGGUGAAAUUCGUAGAUAUUGGGAAGAACACCGGUGGCGAAGGCGGCGACCUGGUCCUUUACUGACGCUGAGGCGCGAAAGCGUGGGGAGCAAACAGGAUUAGAUACCCGCGUAGUCCCUGUCUCUUAUAC